ACGAACCCUGCCGUCAGGCUUCAAGCAUGCAAUUAUAGGCGUGUAGCAAUACACUCCUGUGGACGCAUGUGUAAAUCGUGGCAACAUACCUUUGUUUCCCCACCAACCCAGUGAUACUUGGGCUAAUCACUCUAUACGCCCUCACUGGUGAAAGAAUUUCGCCGAAGGAUUGGCCCGCGUUCGAUUAGCUAGUUGGUGGGGUAACGGCCCACCAAGGCGAAAAUCGAUAGCUCUUCUGAGAGGAAGAUCAGCCACACUGGGAUUUUCUCACGGCCCAGGAUCCUACGGGAGGC
rnacentral:rRNA from 1 species